AUAUACAUCCACACAAACAUAU
rnacentral:miRNA from 1 species